GGGCCGCCCGGCAGACUCCGCCCCUCGGUCGCUGGUGGACCAAUCAGCGUGCGGUGACGCAAAGGAAGGGGCGGGGCCUGAGCAGCGGAGCCGGAAGAGGUUCUGCCUGUGCUCCAGAGACCCUCGGCCAUGGGCGAGCGCAAGGGCACCAACAAGUACUACCCCCCCGACUUCGACCCUGCCAAGGUGGGUGAGGGGUGUUUGGGG